GACGAACGCUGGCGGCGUGCCUAAUACAUGCAAGUUGAGCGCUGAAGGUUGGUACUUGUACCAACUGGAUGAGCAGCGAGGUGAGUAACGCAUGGGGAAUCUGCCUUUGAGCGGGGGACAACAUUUGGAAACGAAUGCUAAUACCGAAUAAAAACUUUAAACACAAGUUUUAAGUUUGAAAGAUGCAAUUGCAUCACUCAAAGAUGAUCCCGCGUUGUAUUAGCUAGUUGGUGAGGUAAAGGCUCACCAAGGCGAUGAUACAUAGCCGACCUGAGAGGGUGAUCGGCCACAUUGGGACUGAGACACGGCCCAAACUCCUACGGGAGGCAGCAGUAGGGAAUCUUCGGCAAUGGACGAAAGUCUGACCGAGCAACGCCGCGUGAGUGAAGAAGGUUUUCGGAUCGUAAAAACUCUGUUGGUAGAGAAAGAAACGUUG
rnacentral:rRNA from 1 species